GACGAACGCUGGAGGCGUGCCUAAUCAAUGCAAGUCGAACGCAGUGGGGACGGGUGAGUAACACGUGGGUAACCUCCCAUCAGAGGGGAUAACACUUGGAAACAGGUGCUAAACCGAUACUGAUGGAUGGACCGUCGGUGCAUUAGCUAGUGGGUGAGGUAACGGCUCACCAAGGCGAGGAUGCAUAGCCGACCUGAGAGGGUGAUCGGCAACACUGGGAAUGAGACACGGCCCAGACUCCUACGGGAGGCAGCAGUAGGGAAUCUUCGGCAAUGGACGACAGUCUGAACGAGCAACGCAGCGUGAGUGAAGAAGGUGUUCGGAUCGUAAAACUCUGUCGUUAGAGAAGCGGUAUCUAACCAGAAAGCCACGGCUAUCGUCGUGCCAGCAGCCGCGGUAAUAC
rnacentral:rRNA from 1 species